rnacentral:rRNA from 1 species
UACGGAGGGUGCGAGCGUUGUCCGGAAUCAUUGGGCGUAAAGGGCGCGUAGGUGGCCCGGUCAGUUCGUGGUGAAAGCGCGGGGCUCAACCCUGCGUCGGCCAUGAAUACUGCCGCGGCUGGAGCACUGUAGAGGCAGGCGGAAUUCCGGGUGUAGCGGUGGAAUGCGUAGAGAUCCGGAAGAACACCGGUGGCGAAGGCGGCCUGCUGGUGCAGUUGCUGACACUGAGGCGCGACAGCGUGGGGAGCAAACAGGG